CCUACGAGAGGCUGCAGUAGGGAAUCUUCCACAAUGGACGAAAGUCUGAUGGAGCAACGCCGCGUGAGUGAAGAAGGGUUUCGGCUCGUAAAGCUCUGUUGGUAGUGAAGAAAGAUAGAGGUAGUAACUGGCCUUUAUUUGACGGUAAUUACUUAGAAAGUCACGGCUAACUACGUGCCAGCCGCCGCGGUAAUACGUAGGUGGCAAGCGUUGUCCGGAUUUAUUGGGCGUAAACCGAGUGCAGGCGGUUCAAUAAGUCUGAUGUGAAAGCCUUCGGCUCAACCGGAGAAUUGCAUCAGAAACUGUUGAACUUGAGUGCAGAAGAGGAGAGUGGAACUCCAUGUGUAGCGGUGGAAUGCGUAGAUAUAUGGAAGAACACCAGUGGCGAAGGCGGCUCUCUGGUCUGCAACUGACGCUGAGGCUCGAAAGCAUGGGUAGCGAACAGGAUUAGAUACCCUUGUAGUC
rnacentral:rRNA from 1 species